rnacentral:rRNA from 1 species
AUUGAACACUGGCGGCAGGCCUAACACAUGCAAGUCGAGCGGAUGAAGGGAGCUUGCUCCUGGAUUCAGCGGCGGACGGGUGAGUAAUGCCUAGGAAUCUGCCUGGUAGUGGGGGAUAACGUCCGGAAACGGGCGCUAAUACCGCAUACGUCCUGAGGGAGAAAGUGGGGGAUCUUCGGACCCCACGCUAUCAGAUGAGCCUAGGUCGGAUUAGCUAGUUGGUGGGGUAAAGGCCUACCAAGGCGACGAUCCGUAACUGGUCUGAGAGGAUGAUCAGUCACACUGGAACUGAGACACGGUCCAGACUCCUACGGGAGGCAGCAGUGGGGAAUAUUGGACAAAGGGCGAAAGCCUGAUCCAGCCAUGCCGCGUGUGUGAAGAAGGUCUUCGGAUUGUAAAGCACUUUAAGUUGGGAGGAAGGGCAGUAAGUUAAUACCUUGCUGUUUUGACGUUACCAACAGAAUAAGCACCGGCUAACUUCGUG